AAAUUGAAGAGUUUGAUCAUGGCUCAGAUUGAACGCUGGCGGCAGGCCUAACACAUGCAAGUCGAACGGUAACAGGAAGCAGCUUGCUGCUUUGCUGACGAGUGGCGGACGGGUGAGUAAUGUCUGGGAAACUGCCUGAUGGAGGGGGAUAACUACUGGAAACGGUAGCUAAUACCGCAUAACGUCGCAAGACCAAAGAGGGGGACCUUCUGGCCUCUUGCCAUCGGAUGUGCCCAGAUGGGAUUAGCUUGUUGGUGGGGUAACGGCUCACCAAGGCGACGAUCCCUAGCUGGUCUGAGAGGAUGACCAGCCACACUGGAACUGAGACACGGUCCAGACUCCUACGGGAGGCAGCAGUGGGGAAUAUUGCACAAUGGGCGCAAGCCUGAUGCAGCCAUGCCGCGUGUAUGAAGAAGGCCUUCGGGUUGUAAAGUACUUUCAGCGGGGAGGAAGGGAGUAAAGUUAAUACCUUU
rnacentral:rRNA from 1 species